CGGUUUCUCUUUUGGGCCUGGAUACAGACUGCUGCCAUGCCGGCUGGCUAGGUCGCUCUGGAUCACAGGAAACAAGGGACCUGCAAGGACUGGAGGCCAAGCAAAUCCACAUGACAGAAAAACAAACAAACAAACAAACAAACAAACAAAACGGACUUUGGAGUGGCCUGCAGGAUUGCUGGACUGGCUGUUCUUUCUUUCAGUGAUGCCUAAGCAGAGAAAACAUGAGAAUCAGUGCACUGAGGCUUAGGGGGCGAGUGGUGAGCAUGCUUCCUGUAAAAUACCUCACUGCACUCUGAGAGAAGUAGGUGGCCUCGCCUUUCUGUGUAAGCUGAAGAGAUGAAGACUCAUAAUGACUUGUUAACGGCCACCAAGAACUGUGGGAAGCAUGGACCCUCAGAGAUCUCACUGCUCUAACCUGGGAAACUUAAAACGGAUCUUAAUUCUGGUGUGACACCAUGACUACCUGUUGGCUGUAUCCCAAGUAGCUAUUCAGCUCUCUCUGACAUUUUCCACUUACGUGUGACAGUCAGAUCAAUUCUGGAAAUACGGACUCCAUCCACAGGAAUUAAAGUGCCACAGGACAUUUUAAGUCCUUGGCAUAGCAGAGACAUCCAUGUUAAACAGCAAGGAGCACUGCUGGUGUCUUAACCAUUCUCUCCUGCUAACAAGCACCAAAACAAAGAACUCCCCUGUGAGUCUCCUGGAGGCUGGAUUUCAACAGAGCACAGUGACCAAGUUUCAUCUUGGAAAGGAACUUCCCACAGAAAAGGGAGACUUCAAAGGAGUGCUCACGUAUGCUGGAGCGCCUCUGAUUUCACUGAACCACCACACACAGGAACAAAACAUCCUGUCCAGAGGCAGCAGUGGUGGGAGCUGGAGCAGCAGCAGGGUGGCUCUCUGCUCUCGCCCACUUCUGGGGAUAGCUCUUGUUUAGUUCCCUCCCUUGCACUUGUCUGAGCUUUUUCCAGCAGCCCCUGGUAUGCUCACUUUUAGUUUCUCCUGGGUUUGAUGGACCCAUGUGACAUGUGGCUGUCUCGUGCCAUCCUUAGAGCUUGACAGGCCCAAUUCUUAAAGGUGGCUUCACUCUAACACUAUGUGCUGUAUAUGAACCUCUUGAGGUCUUGGGGACCCCUUUUCCUGAGCCAUCCUAUGUACCUUCCCACAGGAGAUCUCGGUAGUGACUCACCCACCCCAUACUCUACAUUCACCCCUCAGGGGAAGUUCAAGGCCCUGGAGGAUUGGUCUAGGAAGAAGAGGAGCAUUGUGCUGCUCCACUCCUUCAAGGCCCACCCCAAUAACAGACUUCCUCCAAUCAGAGUCCACCUCCUACAGUUCACUACCUCUAAGUCAUCCAUUUAAGUAUAAAUCCAUCUGUUAAUUAUGCAGGGCAGAGCCCUCAGGGUGCAGUCACCUCUCAAAGAUAAGAUCUAUUGGCUGAGGACCAAGCCUUCCCCAUAUGGGAGGAUGUGCCAUACAAAAACAUAAGAAACAAAGUUAUUCCUUUCAUUUUUAUUCCUAAGCAUGGCUUUGAUUUUUCAGCUUAUGGUCUGGCAUAUAAGUUUCUUCUUGUUUUUAUAAAAGCACACACAUGUCUACAGAUCAGCCCAACCUGUGUGCCUUUAGGUAGAGAACACAGACAGUCCAGCUAACACUCAUGGAAAGUCAAAGCUAGGGUAAAAUCAAAGUCAAAGAAACGGAGCAACUACUACAGAUCGGGCAUUUGUCUGUUUCUCUCGCCCAGAAUGCCAAAUCUUCAGGGGCAGAGGUUUUUUGGCUUUGUUUUUUUAAUUCCUUUUCUUUGUGCCACUGAAUUUAGAAGUACAUAUUCAAUGUAACAACAAAGAAUAAGAUGUGUGUGUGUGUGUGUGUGUGUGUGUGUGUGUGUGUGUGUGCACACAAAUGUAGGCAUUGGCAUGCCAAUAUAGAGGUCAAAGACAACUUUGGGCAUUAGUUCUGGCCUUUGACCUUGUUUGAGGCGGGGUCUGUGGUGUUUCAUUGAUAUGUACACCAAGAUAACUGACCCAGAGCUGCCAGUCAUUCUUCUGUCUUCAUCUCCAUCUCCCUGUAGGCAUACUGGGAUUACAGGUGUGGACUACUGUGUGCAGCUUUUGUGUGUGUUCUGGGGAAUCUGAAUUCAGGUAAUUGAGCUUGUACACACAUUACUUACUCACUGCUCCGUCUUCCCAGUGAAAGAAUGAACUAUUGAUUAAACAAUGUCAUUGCUAAGAGAGUUUGAAUGACAGAGUGCAAGAACCAAAACACUCCACAGGAUUUACAGAAACCAACUCCCAGAGAAGCAAUGAACACUGUCCAUUACAGCCUUCUAUAUGAUGGCCACAGCUGCUUCUUAAGGGCUAUGUUUGGUCACAGUUGACAUAGUCAAGACAUUGGAAGUGAUGGAAGAGUGCAAUGUCUAUGCAUUCCAGUACAUGAUGUGUUUGGGAACCAGAGCCUUCAGCAUGGGGUGGCAGACAGCUUGUGGUCAGUAUCUGAGGUUCCUAGUUCUUCACACCAGACAUCCAUCUGGAAAACCCUUAGUGAGAACCCCGUUUCUGGAGGUAGACUUGAGCUGGUGGUAUGGAGAUGCAGUAGGUUAUGCCCACAAUGAAGGGGAGUAACUGCUCACUGUCCCAACAUGAAACAAGUUGCACCAUGUGCUCUAUGGGUGCACUCUGGGGCACUCUAUUACCCAUUCAUCUUCUGAACUCAUCUUUCAUUUGCCAACAGUUUUGUUUUGUUUACAUUUUGAUAUGUUUUGUUGAAACAGAGCCUGUCUAUGUAGAAUAGGCUAGCCAGGAACUUUAUACCUAGCAUAGGCUAGCUCCAUGAUUCCUCCUGUUUUGAAAUUACAGGUAUACAUCACCAAACCCAGCCACCUGGAAACUAUGGUGUUUUGUUCCAAGUACAAGGCCUCAUGUAUUACAGGCUAGCCUCAAACUGUGACUGAAGACUACUUUGAACUUCUAAAUCCCCAACCUCCACACCUCCCUAGUUCUGGAAUUACUCACAUAUGCCACCAUGUCUAGUUUAUGAGACACUGGCUAUACAAUGACAAUCUUCAGCCAUGCUAGGAAAGAACUCUACCAACUAAGCUGCACACCCAUCAUAUGUGAAGACAACAUAAAGGCUACUUUCCUAGUCAGCUUUGCCAACUUAACAUAGCCUAGAGCAGCUGUUUUUCUAUGUCCACAAGACUCCCUUUGGGGGUCAAACAACCCUUUCCCUGGGGCUGCCUAAGACCAUUGGCAUAUCAUGUAUUUGCAUUACAAUUUAUCACAGUAGCAAAAUCACAGUUAUGAAGUAGCAAUGGAAAUAAUCUUACAUUUGGGGGUUAGCACAACAUGAGGACCUGUAUUAAGGGAUCACAGCAUUAGGAAGAUUGAGAACCAUUGCCCUAGAGUCCAUCUGAGAGUAAAGCCUCAGCUGAGGAAUUGGCUAGAUUGGCCUGUUGGUGUGUCUAUAGGGAGCUGUCUUAAUCAUUAAUGGGUGUAGGAGCGCCCAGUCCACUGUGGGCAGAACCAUUCCCCAGGCAGGCGGCCUUGGUCUCUCUCUAAGCAAGCCAUGGGGUGAGCCAGCAAGCAGCAUCCUCCAUGGUUUCUGCCACACGUUCUUUCCCUGCUUGAGUUGUUGACCUCACAUCCCUCAGUGAUGAACUAUGACCUGGAAGUGCUGAAAGGGCUCCAGGUUCCAUGAGAGACUCUGUCUCAAGGGAGUAACUCAAGUGAUAGAGCUUGACAUCCAAUAUCCUCCCCCCUGGCCUCUGAGGCAUACACACACACACACACACACACACACACACACACACACACACAUAUAAACUAUCUAGACCAGCUCCAUCUGGUGCACAUAGCAAAGGAGCCCUCAGUGAGAGAAGAGUUCCUCCUGGGGGCACAAAUCAGGCGACAAAGAAGAGAUGCCUUUUAGUGCAGGCACCAAGACCAGAUGGAUCCUACAGAGUAGUGAAGGAGCUUCCUAUUGUCCUGUUUUGAGGGGAAGGAGAGGAAGGGAAUAUGUAAAUUCCACUUUCAACAACUUCCAUAAACAGACAGCGAAGCCACAGCCUUGUGUCUGAAGUACUAAUUGCUCACCACUAGGCAUAUCAAAACAGAAGCACUUUAAUCUGUAAAUUUAACUCACGCACAUAAAAGAGAAAAUGGCCAUUCCCUAAAAUAAAUACAUGGGGUGGGGGAAAAGCUGAUUUCAGAGGCGCUUGUCUAUUAAAACUUGAGAAUAAAAAUAAGGAGCAUGGAGCAAAUAGAGGAUUGAAUGUUGACUCCCAUUACCAUACAAUAUCACAAAAUGGGGCUUCAGGGGCCCAGCUUUGCUCUUCACCCAGAGAGGAACAAGAUUAUGGCGUCCAUUCCGCUUGGGAUGGAGGGUGGGGUAAGGACUACGCGAGAGGGAUACUGUACUGUUGUUAGAAUCCAAGUCCUUGAUCAGACCCUUGUCUCAAAACACCAGCUGGGCAUCAAAGACAAAAAGGAAAGAAAAAACACACACACAUGAAAAAAUUCACACAUACCAUCAAGCACAUUCUCAAGCUGAAAUACAACCAUUCCAAAUUCCCCCAUUUUCAAGUACAAACACAUUUUCAUUCAUCACAUCCCAAGCAAGCAAGAAGCCUGUGUGGUUCUGCUGUUUGCGGUUUCACCACAGGGCUCCAGGCUUUUGUUUUUCACAAAGACCUGGACUUCUUUUGAAACACCCUGGCUGUCAUAUUAAAUUCUCCCCUCUCCUUCUCUUCCCAUGCUUAACAGUCACUUGACCCUACAGAAAGUAAAAUUUGACAAACCAUGGUGUUACUGAAAAUACUUCAAAAGGAGGCAGGACCAAAAUAGCAUGGCAGACGGGCACGGUGACCACUUUGUCUGUGGUACCAGCCUAACAGCAGUUUAAACUAGGAAAAUAAAUGGAAUUUUUUUAAAAAAAUUACUAUCGCCUGCAUGACGAUUCAUCAUCAGGGGGUUUGAGAAGGAACACGUCACUGAAGUGAAGCCCCAAACACAAUGAGCCAGGCCGGAAGACUGCCCUAAAAGAAUGAGCUCAGCCAGUUCUCUCUGUGGAGCUUCUAGAGGCAAGCCCUGGUGUAAAAGAUUCCUACUAGAUAAGGGGUGGGCCUCCAAACAGACAUUCUCACUGGGGAGAAUUUGACAAUGGGUAUGAAAAAAGGAUCUCCUUUGUGCUUUGCCCAUAUGCCAUGAAUUUUAUUGUUAGUCAUUAUUAGUGUGAAUGUGGUGAGUAGGUAUUAUGUUAUUUAUUAUUAGUGUAUUUGUGGUGUGUGUGUGUGUGUGUGUGUGUGUGUGUGUGUGUGUGUGUGUGUGUGAGGGCAUGCCACAGUGAAGUUGUAGAGGUCAGAGACCAAGUCUGUAUAGUCAGUUCUCCCCUUACACCUUGGUGUGGGUUCCAUGGAUGGACUUGAGAUCUCCAGAUCUGAGCAGUAAGCAUUUUACCCUCUGAGCCAUCUCCUGUGACCCUCACAAAGAAAUCAAAAAAGGGUUAUUUUAUCAUCUGCUGGGGAAGAGGCCUGGCACACACCAGUAACCCCGGUGUUUGAGAGGCUAAGGCAAGAGAACCACGAGUUCCAUGUCGGGCUGGGCCACAUAGUGAGGACCCAUCUAAUAAGGCAGACAGAGUUCAGAUCCCCACCAUGCAUAUCAAAGCUGAGCACUGUGGCAAGUGUCCAUAUACCAGUGCUGGGAAGGAAGGCAAAGACAGGUCUUAGUGCUUGCUGGCCAACCAGUUUAGCCAAAUUGCCAAGCUACAGAUUAUAUUAGAAACCUUGUCUCAAAACAUAAGGUGAAGAGUUAUAGUGGAAGACAGGACAUCAACUUCUGACCUCCACUUUGGUGCAUAUAGGCACACAUGUCCACAUGCACGCACACACACACAAAUAUAAAUACCAAAUAAAUAAACACCCAGAAGACAGUAAGGAGACAGGGAAAGGAGGAAGGAGAGAGAGAGAACAGAAAUAAGGUAAGUGCCGAGCAACUCCAAGUAGACACUCCGAGGCUUACAACAAGGGAAAAGCAAAAGGACCCCUGAUUCAUGAAAAAUAAUAACUGAGAUUUCAGCUGUGGGCCCAAGAAGGAGAUUAAUCUUCUAAGUAUCUACUGUGCACACAGCACUUUUCUUAGUGCUUAAAAUAUUGCCUAAUAUUAACUUUCAAAAUAAAACCCAUUAGAUAGCUAUAAAUGUAACCACUCCAGAGGAAAAACACUGAAGGUCAGGGAGAAUAAAACUGUAUGUUGUCCACAAUGGCCUCAUUAGGAUUUGAGUCCAAGGCCACACAGAUGACAAGACUCAACUUUCCCCUGAUCCCAUAUCAGAAUAAUGACAAUAAAUCAGCAUUUGGGUUCUUGGAGUGGGCUGUUAUCUACAGGAGUUGGGGAUAAAAAUCAGAUUUUUUUCAAGGCCAAACUCUUAACCACUUGGCCAUCACAGCUCAAAAUCAGAAUUUUAAGGCACAAUUAACAAAUAAAGUAGCCCUGGAGUCAUCUCUUAAUUAACCUUUAUGUUUUCAGCUCCAGGUACCUAAAGGCACAUAAUGUCAAGAAUGGGCUGUAGUAUUUCCCUGUGCUUUUAAACAUCCGUAAAAGACACUGGCAGGAACCUGGGGCCCUUGGGGGCCAAAGGACAUAGCCUUCCCUUCCCUUCCUACUUCAUAAAGGCAAAACAGCUUCAUCUAGCUCAGAAAGAGAGUGAGGAAAGUGAAAAGAGGCGAAUGCUCUCACUUCCUCACAGGACUAACUUGAAUUUUUAACCUACAGAUUGGUUGCAUCUGUACACAUUCUAUUUACUCGUGUGUGUGUGUGUGUGUGUGUGUGUGUGUGUGUGUGUGUGUGUGUGUGUGUGUGUGUGGUAUGGGCAUACACUUUCAUGUACACACAAACAGAAGGACAACCUUGAAUGUAAUUUUUCGGGCACCAUUUCCAUCUUUGUUAGACAGUCUCCCACUGGCACCCAGCUCACUGAAUAAGCUGCUCUGGCUGCUCAGUGAGUUCCAGGGAUCCUCCAGUCUCCUCCCAGUGCUGAGAUUGCAAGCGCCAUCAUGCUGGCUUUUUUAGUGUGGGUUUUGGGGACAAACUUAGUCCUCAUGCUGAGUAGCAAGCACUUGGUCAACUGUGACAUCUCCUCUGACUUGUACACCUUUAUUUUAGACUAAAAUUUGAGACUCCGACUGACUAUUCUAAAUCAAUGCCAAUAUUAUCUUAAAACCUAUUAUCUUAAUAUAUUUACCAUCUCCGUGACUGAGAAUCCACUGACAAUAAGAGCAGUAGAGAAUUUUUAAGGCAGAAAAGGAAGAGAGAAAAUGAAACUUCAGCUGGCUGUUGGGGCAUACAUGUUUAAUCUUGGGUUCUUUGGAGGUAGAGGCAGGUAGAUCUCUAUUAACUCAAGGCUAGCCUAGUCUACAUAGUGAGUCACAGGCCAACUAAGGCUAUGUAGAGAGUCCCUGUCUCAAAACAACCCGAAACUUUACAUUUUGGAAACCAUGAAAUUAUCAUACAGAAAGAAGUGUACCCACAGUGGGAAGAGAUCUCAUGCCACAGGCUACUAAAGGACCAGGAUGUAGGGACAAUGCAAACCCCGGAAAGGGAGGAAAGCAGGGCCUCAGAGGAACAGCUCGCUAGGAAGCAUGCAGAAGCCAGGUAUGUGUGCACACUGCUGCAAUCCCAGCUCUUCAGACACUGAAGCAAGAGUGCCACAAACCCAAGGCUAGCUUGGGCUACACAUCAAGGCUCUGUCUCCAAAGAAACGAAGCCAAAGCCAUUAGAUCUGUAACCACCUCUGCCUCUCCACACAGACUUCCUCCAUGAUGCCCUGCCACCAGGCCUCACCCCAGUCAUCAUAGGCCUGAGGAACAAUGACCCUAGGCUGGUCUUCCUUAAGGAGUUCCUAUGUGUCUCUUCAUAGGAAAUAGCCAGGAUUGCUUUGCGACCACCACACUCCUGGUUACAGCUUUUCAUGUAAUUGGAUCUUUUACCCCAACUAUUACUCUAACACAGGAAACUCCCUCAAUACCAUUGUACCAGGAGCUGCUCCAGAUCUCUCUUCUUGCUUUUGCUAUCUUUAGCUUCAAGAUAAAGAUAUGGAUGAAACUCAA